rnacentral:rRNA from 1 species
GACGAACGCUGGCGGCGUGCUUAACACAUGCAAGUCGAACGGUAAGGCCCUUCGGGGUACACGAGUGGCGAACGGGUGAGUAACACGUGGGUGAUCUGCCCUGCACUUCGGGAUAAGACUGGGAAACUGGGUCUAAUACCGGAUAGGACCACUGCCUGCAUGGGUGGUGGGGGAAAGUUUUUGCGGUGUGGGAUGGGCCCGCGGCCUAUCAGCUUGUUGGUGGGGUGAUGGCCUACCAAGGGGACGACGGGUAGCCGGCCUGUGAGGGUGACCGGCCACACUGGGACUGAGAUACGGCCCAGACUCCUACGGGAGGCAGCAGUGGGGAAUAUUGCACAAUGGGCGCAAGCCUGAUGCAGCGACGCCGCGUGAGGGAUGACGGCCUUCGGGUUGUAAGCCUCUUUCAGCACCGACGAAGCGCAAGUGACGGUAGGUGCAGAAGAAGGACCGGCCAACUACGUGCCAGCCGCCGCCGUAA